rnacentral:rRNA from 1 species
CCUACGGGAGGCAGCAGUGAGGAAUAUUGGUCAAUGGACGAGAGUCUGAACCAGCCAAGUAGCGUGAAGGAUGACUGCCCUAUGGGUUGUAAACUUCUUUUAUAAAGGAAUAAAACGAGGCACGUGUGCCUUUUUGCAUGUACUUUAUGAAUUAGGAUCGGCUAACUCCGUGCCAGCAGCCGCGGCAAGACGGAGGAUCCGAGCGUGAUCCGGAUUUAUUGGGUUUAAAGGGAGCGUAGAUGGGUUGUUAAGUCAGUUGUGAAAGUUUGCGGCUCAACCGUAAAAUUGCAAUUGAUACUGGCAGUCUUGAGUACAGUUGAGGUAGGCGGAAUUCGUGGUGUAGCAGUGAAAUGCUUAGAUAUCACGAAGAACCCCGGUUGCGAAGGCAGCUUACUAAACUGUGACUGACAUUGAUGCUCGAAGGUGUGGGUAUCAAACAGGAUUAGAUACCCCAGUAGUC